UACAGAGGUGGCAAGCGUUGUUCGGAAUUACUGGGCGUAAAGGGCGCGUAGGCGGCCCUGUAAGUCCGCUGUGAAAGUCCGGGGCUCAACCCCGGAUCUGCCGUGCCGACUGUCAAACUCGAGGGCUGUAGAGGCAGACGGAAUUCCGGGUGUAGCGGUGGAAUGCGUAGAGAUCCGGAGGAAGACCGGUGGCGAAGGCGGUCUGCUGGGCAGUUUCUGACACUGAGGCGCGACAGCGUGGGGAGCAAACAGG
rnacentral:rRNA from 1 species